rnacentral:lncRNA from 10 species
GAUCAUCCUCAUUGUCUUCAAGUUGAGUAGGCUGAGGAGGAAGAGGAGAGAGGUUGAUCUUGCUGUCUCAGGUGGCACGAUUGGAAGAGGUAGAAGGAGGUUGGAGAGGCAGGCACACAGAAAAACAUACGUGUCCAAGUGGACCCCUGCAGUUCAAACCCAUGUUGCUCAAGGGUCAAUUGUAAUUUGCCUUUGUUGAGAGAUGGCUUGUAUAAAGUAAUGAAAUAAUGUAGGCUUUAAAAAAGAUAUUAUUAUGGUGUUUUUUACUAAUAGGGAGCCAAGAGAAAGGCUGUAUCAGGAUACCAGUCUCAUGAUGAUAGUUCUGACAAUUCAGAAUGCAGCUUUCCUUUCAAAUAUACGUAUGGCGUAAAUGCAUGGAAACACUGGGUCAAAACUAGGCAACUUGAUGAAGAUCUUCUGGUAUUAGAUGAGUUAAAAUCUUCUAAAUCAGUAAAGUUAAAAGAGGAUCUACUCUCUCACACCACAGCUGAGCUUAACUAUGGGUUAGCUCAUUUUGUCAAUGAGAUCCGACGGCCAAAUGGAGAGAAUUAUGCACCUGACAGCAUCUAUUACCUUUGCCUUGGAAUACAGGAGAGUAUUUGUGUGGAAGUAAUCGAAAAGACAACAUAUUUAUUGAUCCUGGAUACCAAACAUUUGAGCAAGAAUUGAAUAAAAUACUGCGAAGCUGGCAACCAAGCAUACUUCCAGAUGGGUCAAUAUUCUCUCGAGUUGAAGAAGACUAUCUCUGGAGGAUAAAACAACUAGGAUCACACUCUCCAGUAGCUCUUCUGAAUACACUGUUCUACUUUAACACUAAGUAUUUUGGCCUGAAAACAGUGGAACAACACUUAAGACUUUCCUUUGGCACUGUGUUUAGGCAUUGGAAAAAAAAUCCUUUAACGAUGGAAAACAAAGCGUGUCUUCGAUACCAAGUGUCUUCCUUGUGUGGAACAGAUAAUGAAGAUAAAAUUACUACUGGAAAAAGAAAACAUGAAGAUGAUGAGCCAGUAUUUGAACAAAUUGAAAACACAGCCAAUCCUUCCAGAUGUCCUGUGAAAAUGUUUG